UACGAGUGCCUCAAGCGUUAUCCGGAAUUAUUGGGCGUAAAGGGUGUGUAGGUGGUUUUGUUAGUCUCCUGUUAAAUCUCUCGGCUUAACCGAGAGCUCGCAGGGGAAACGGCAAGACUUAGAGUGUGCGAGGGGUCUGUGGAACUCAUAGUGUAGCGGUGAAAUGCGUUGAUAUUAUGGGGAACACCAAAAGCGAAGGCAGCAGACUGGAGCAUUACUGACACUGAAACACGAAAGCGUGGGUAGCGAAUGGG
rnacentral:rRNA from 1 species